rnacentral:rRNA from 1 species
UACGAGGGGGGCAAGCGUUGUUCGGAAUUAUUGGGCGUAAAGGGUGCGUAGGUGGUUCGGCAAGUCUUGUGUGAAAUCUUCAGGCUCAACCUGAAGUCUGCACAAGAAACUGCCGGGCUUGAGUAUGGGAGAGGUGAGUGGAAUUUCCGGUGUAGCGGUGAAAUGCGUAGAUAUCGGAAGGAACACCUGUGGCGAAAGCGGCUCACUGGACCAUUACUGACACCGAGGCACGAAAGCUAGGGGGAGCAAACAGGAUUAGAUACCCUGGUGGUCCUAGCCCUAAACGAUGAUCGCUUGGUGUGGCGGGUAUCCAACCCUGCCGUGCCGAAGCUAACGCGUUAAGCGAUCCGCCUGGGGAGUACGGUCGCAAGGCUGAAACUC